AUCAGACUCCUACGGGAGGCAGCAGUGAGGAAUAUUGGUCAAUGGGCUUACGCCUGAACCAGCCAAGUCGCGUGAGGGAAGACUGCCCUAUGGGUUGUAAACCUCUUUUGUCAGGGAGCAAUUGGCGCUACGUGUAGCGUUAUCGAGAGUACCUGAAGAAAAAGCAUCGGCUAACUCCGUGCCAGCAGCCGCGGUAAUACGGAGGAUGCGAGCGUUAUCCGGAUUUAUUGGGUUUAAAGGGUGCGCAGGCGGAGGUGCAAGUCAGCGGUCAAAUUGCGGGGCUCAACCCCGUACUGCCGUUGAAACUGCAUCCCUUGGGUGCGCGAGAAGUAUGCGGAAUGCGUGGUGGAGCGGUGAAAUGCA
rnacentral:rRNA from 1 species